UGCGGCCCGGUGGGGAGCUGCGGCCAUGUGCUUGGGCCUCUUUCCGUGCGGUCAGGCCUAUCUCCAGGGAAUCCGUCGCCAUCCGACCUUUGGAACAUUGCCUACCUUUGCACUGCAGGAGAUGAGUCACUUCAUUCACCAGGGAUGAAGAAAAUGUGACAAAAUCCAGUACAGCUAAAAGGAAUCAGUAAAUAUCAGUGCUUUCUUUCCUGAAGAAAAGCUUGAGAUUAAAUAAGAACCAAAUCAA